rnacentral:rRNA from 1 species
UAAAGAUUCAUCGCUGAUAGAUAGGCAUGCGUUCCAUUAGGCAGUUGGCGGGGUAACGGCCCACCAAACCGACGAUGGAUAGGGGUUCUGAGAGGAAGGUCCCCCACAUUGGUACUGAGACACGGACCAAACUCCUACGGGAGGCAGCAGUGAGGAAUAUUGGCCAAUGGGCGUAAGCCUGAACCAGCCAAGUCGCGUGAGGGAUGAAGGUUCUAUGGAUCGUAAACCUCUUUUAUAAGGGAAUAAAGUGCGGGACGUGUCCCGUUUUGUAUGUACCUUAUGAAUAAGGAUCGGCUAACUCCGUGCCAGCAGCCGCGGUAAUACGGAGGAUCCGAGCGUUAUCCGGAUUUAUUGGGUUUAAAGGGUGCGUAGGCGGCCUUUUAAGUCAGCGGUGAAAGUCUGUGGCUCAACCAUAGAAUUGCCGUUGAAACUGGGAGGCUUGAGUAUGUUUGAGGCAGGCGGAAUGCGUGGUGUAGCGGUGAAAUGCUUAGAUAUCACGCAGAACCCCGAUUGCGAAGGCAGCCUGCCAAGCCAUGACUGACGCUGAUGCACGAAAGCGUGGGGAUCAAACAGGAUUAGAUACCCUGGUAGUCCACGCAGUA